GCGGCGGACGGGUGAGUAACACGUGGGCAACCUGCCCGCAAGACCGGGAUAACUCCGGGAAACCGGAGCUAAUACCGGAUAACACCGAAGACCGCAUGGUCUUCGGUUGAAAGGCGGCCUUUGGGCUGUCACUUGCGGAUGGGCCCGCGGCGCAUUAGCUAGUUGGUGAGGUAACGGCUCACCAAGGCGACGAUGCGUAGCCGGCCUGAGAGGGUGACCGGCCACACUGGGACUGAGACACGGCCCAGACUCCUACGGGAGGCAGCAGUAGGGAAUCUUCCGCAAUGGGCGAAAGCCUGACGGAGCGACGCCGCGUGAGCGAAGAAGGCCUUCGGGUCGUAAAGCUCUGUUGUGAGGGACGAAGGAGCGCCGUCGAAGAAGGCGGCGCGGUGACGGUACCUCACGAGAAAGCCCCGGCUAACUACGUGCCAGCAGCCGCGGUAAUAC
rnacentral:rRNA from 1 species